GCAAAUCAAUAUAGAUUGAUUAAUAAUUAUUUAUUAAUUUUUUUUUUUUGUUGUAUAUUUUAUUAAAAAUAAUUAUAUAAUUUAAUGUUUUAGUAAUUUUUAAUGAAAAAAUAAUAUUGUAAUAAUAGUGUAUUAGGUAUUGUGAAAGAUUAUUGAAAUAUUUUGAAAAAUUUUUAUUUUGUAAGAAGUUUUUGUUUGACGUACCUUGUGUAUCAGGGUUUAUCAAAAAAUUAAUAGUUAUUUAUUAAUCUCGAUUUUAUAAGAGUUAAUAGUUUAUUUAAGUUAAUGUGUCAAAAUUAUUUAUAAUAAGUUAUUAGAAAUGAAAUGUUAUUCGUUUAUAAAGGUAUCUAGUUUUUUUAGAAAUAAAUUUAAUUUACAAAUUUUUAAUUUUUUAUUUGAUUUUAUUAAAUAAAAAAUUUAUGAAUUUGAAUAUUUUAAGGGAUAAGCUUUAAAGUAAAUUAUUAAAAAUAAAUGAAUAUUAAAUAAAAUGUAUGUGUAGAAUUAGCAAUCAUUUAUAAGUUUGUUAUAAAUUAUUUUAUGGGUUAUAUUAUUUAUUAAGUUUUAAUUAUUUAUAAAAAUUUUUUCGUGAAUUGUCAUGAAAAGUAAUAAUGAUAGAAUUAGUAUAUAUUUAUUGUUUAAUAUGUUUGUAUGACAAGUUUAUAUAAAGAACUCGGCAAAUUUUAUACCCGCCUGUUUAACAAAAACAUGUCUUUUUGAGUUUACUUUAAAGUCUGACCUGCCCAAUGAAUUAAUUUGAAUGGCCGCAGUAUUCUAACUGUGCAAAGGUAGCAUAAUCAUUAGUCUUUUAAUUGGAGGCUGGAAUGAACGGUUGGACGAGGUAUAAGCUGUUUCAUAUAAAUUUAUUAUAGAAUUUUAUAUUUUAGUCAAAAAGCUAAAAUAAAUUUAAAAGACGAGAAGACCCUAUAAAUCUUUAUAAUUUCUUGUAUUUAAAUUUCGUAGAUAAAUUUUAUUUUUAUAUGGGAAAUUAUUUUGUUGGGGUGAUAUUAAAAUUUAACAAACUUUUAAUUUUAAUGAAUCAUUAAUUUAUGAUUAAUUGAUCCGUUAAUAACGAUUAUAAGAUUAAGUUACCUUAGGGAUAACAGCGUAAUUUUUUUGGAGAGUUCAUAUCGAUAAAAAAGUUUGCGACCUCGAUGUUGGAUUAAGAUAUAUUUUUAGGUGUAGCCGCUUAAAUAUUAAGUCUGUUCGACUUU
rnacentral:rRNA from 1 species